UACGUAGGGUGCGGGCGUUGUCCGGAAUUAUUGGGCGUAAAGCGCUUGUAGGCGGUUUGUCGCGUCUGCUGUGAAAAUCCGGGGCUCAACCCCGGACUUGCAGUGGGUACGGGCAGACUAGAGUGUGGUAGGGGAGACUGGAAUUCCUGGUGUAGCGGUGAAAUGCGCAGAUAUCAGGAGGAACACCGAUGGCGAAGGCAGGUCUCUGGGCCACUACUGACGCUGAGAAGCGAAAGCAUGGGGAGCGAACAGG
rnacentral:rRNA from 1 species